GACGAACCGUCCAAACGUUAUUCGGAAUUAUUGGGCUUAAAGGGUGCGUAGGCGGCGCUGUAAGUCAGGUGUGAAAUCCCACGGCUCAACCGUGGAAUUGCGCUUGAUACUGCAGUGCUUGAGGGAGACAGAGGUAAGCGGAACUGAUGGUGGAGCGGUGAAAUGCGUUGAUAUCAUCAGGAACACCGGUGGCGAAAGCGGCUUACUGGGUCUCUUCUGACGCUGAGGCACGAAAGCUAGGGUAGCGAACGGG
rnacentral:misc_RNA from 1 species